rnacentral:ncRNA from 1 species
UUUUUCAGGGCGGGGCGCAAUUCCCCACUGGCGGUACAGUCCGCGACUCCUUAAAGUUUCUUUAGGGACCGAUUCGGUGAAACUCCGGAACCAACAGUAUAGUCUGGAUGAAAGAAGAA